GGGCGAGGCGGCGGUGCGCAAGAGCGCACGCACAAGGUGUGGGCUAAUGUAGACUGGAACCUUGGGAUCCAUUACAUCUUCACAUCAGUCACUUCCACAUCAGUCACUUCAUCCAUGUGGGGUCACCGGGGAGACUCCUAACCAGUUGGUCAGACUGAUGAGAAUAAGAGACUGCUGCAUGCUCAGCCGUGAACACUCCACAGCUCAGAGACCAUUUCAGAAGAGGAGGCCCCACGGACACUCCACAGCUCAGAGACCACCACAGAAGAGGAGGCCCCACGGACUCUCCACAGCUCAGAGACCACCACAGAAGAGGAGGCCUGAGGAAGGGGUGGUGAGGAAGGGGUGGUGAAGAAGAGGUGGUACUGCUGCUGUCAAAUGCUGACUUCCGGGCAUGUUGUGGUCAUGGCCUGUUUGAACGCAGAGUGUUGGGCUUCCCAGUACUAGAUCUGCUUAAGAUUGAGCUCAUCCUGUCAGAGAACAAGGAGAGGUUUGGGAGGCCCUGCCCCUCCCUGAAGACUUCCAGCAAUUAAAGUUUAAUAGGUGAAGGAGAGAAAUUUUCUUUAGUGAUGCAAGCUACUGAAUAAGCACACAUGCUCCUAUGCGGAGUCCUCCCUUGAAUCCAGAGUGAUGGAGCAGCUCAUCUGGAAUCCCAGGACCCAGGAGCUGGAGGCAAGAAGAUUAGGACUUGGGAUGAGUUGGAGACUGGCUCAGCAUGCAGAAGACCCAGUCUCUUUGGGAAUACUUUUUUGACAUAACAGAGACUGAACCUAGGACAUCAUGCAU